GCCACAUGUAGAGACAGCAGUAGAGCCAAGAUCAGAAUGCAAGCAUGCCUGGCUCCUAGGACUGAGUUUAGAUCACUGUCUCUCUCCUUCAGUUCUGGUUUAACCUUAUUUAUUUUGAUUUCUAAUUAUGAAACUGGGAAGUAAAAUUAACAUGCUCCUACCUUCUUAGCUGGAGUAUCCAAACCAGGGUUAAGUAAAAUAGGACAAAUGGAUGGUGCAUAUGGAAUGAUAUUCACUUGUCCUGUUUGUUGGAGCAAAGGAGGCCCUGGCUUGGUUUGGAAACAGGUGGCUGCAUGGGGGUCUCUCUGGGCAUUAUAAGGAGGAAUUGCAGAACCCAGCUUUGGUGAACGACUGCAAUCCCUAGCAAUGCUUUCUACUGCCACAGAAUCCAAAAUGAAUAGUAGUUCCUUAAGUUCCAGGUCAGCUUUAGAAGGAGAUGGUGCAAAAUGACUUGGGUGGUGCUAUGUCCUUUUCUUUGCAGGCGCCAUUCAUUUUCCUUGGGAAGGAGAGAGGACAAGAAGAAAAGGAAUAAGCUGCUCCCAUGUUAUGAGUAACUGCACUCUCUUCUCUACUGGAAAACCUAAACAAGCAGCAACAAUCCCAGUGUGUGUUGCUAUGGCCACACACCCACAGAGCUGGGUUCAUUACAGAGCAAGGUGAAGUCUUUCUACAGCCACAUCAGUGUUCAGCACAGAAGAACCCUACCAUAGGAUUAGUGCAGACCCACAGCAUAAGGAGGCCAGUUGCCUAGUUCUUGAAGUGGCUUGGACAUGUGAGUUUAGAUGGUGAAAACAUCCCACUUUUGUUCUUGGUGCAUGUGGACUGUACUGGCAGCGUGUGCCUGCUGCCCAGGAGCGUAUUGACCUGUCAAUCUUCAAACUUCAGCGUCCUAUGUAGAUGCUGGGAGUCCUGCCACCAAACCCCAGGGCUGGCUCUUAUUCUCUGCAUUUCAACAGCUGACUUCUGGAGGUCCAGAGCUUUAGGAAAUCCUUAUCUGGAAAAAAGCUCUGAGAAUCUUUCUGGUUUCUUGUGUCUAGUCUGCAGCAGUUGUUGAUGGAGGGCAAUCAAACUGGAUCUGUGGUAGUUUUACCAUGUCAUGAAUGUGGGUGAUUGAAGUGCUCUAGAGCCAUGUUCCUGUGACUGCUCCCUCUGAUACCUUGCACAAGUGAUGAUGCCUUGACUUUCAGAUGUACAAACAUAACUUGUAUCACAAUGUUCACCACCCUUCUGCCAAAGAUUUCACACAGACAUUUGUGAAACCUGAGGCAGAUGUUCAUCCCAUUUUACAGAAGAGGGAACUGAGGUACUGCAGUGAGAUGUGACUUGCCCCAGAUCAUGCAAGAUGCCUGUGGCAGGACCAAGAAAUGUCUUUUCUGAAAGGCUUCCGGGAAGCUGCCUGAGUCCAAGUUGCUGCAAAUAUGUACAAAAGCUAAACACAGAUUUAAAAUGAAACCCUUUUAUAUCAAGGUCUCCAUAUUUUCAAGGUUAAAACAAGACAUAAAUCCUAGGGCAGAUGUGUUCACUGGAGCUGGUUUUAGCAGAGUCAGAUAAUGUGUUUGGAAGAAUUUGGCAGCUUAGAAAGAGAAACAGAAAAGGUAGCCAUUUCCCCCCACCUAUACUCACUGUACCUGGGCUUCUCUUCUCUCUUCAGCUGCACCCCCUCCUUUUUCUCCUUCAGCAUCCCCUCACUGCCAGCCCUUCCUUUCUGCCACACUCAUUCUCUUGAUUGUGUUCACUAGACCUCUGCCUUGCCUUUGCCUCUUUCAGUUCCGCCACCCCUCAUCUGCUGCCUGGGGUAAAAGAGGAGGGCAGCUAUGUGGCCACAUCCCCCCAUCUGAAGUAGUAGCUACCCAGAGGUGCUGGUGAUGGUGUGGCUCUGAGAGACUCCAGGGGGGCAUUGUAGAUGGAGAGCUAGUGCCUGUGGUGCACGUGUAUUCAUCCUACCCACUGUCAGUUUUAUUAGCUUAGCUGAUUUGUGACUUGUGUGCCCAGUGAUGGGGAUUUCCAAAUCAGCUAAAACAGUUUUCUGUAAAAGUAGCAGGGACAAGCCUGGUAUUGAGGAACUCUUGGGAAAAAGACUGUAUAAAUAAAACAGGCUCUGCUGUUCAUUCACACUAAUGCAGUGUGAGCGAUGAGUGCAGUGGGCAAGAGUCAGUUCAUCUUUUCUUGAAUAAAAACAAUGAGGAAGAUGGGAGGCAGAAGGACCAGAAGACCUGAGGUUUGCCCUUCUGGAUGUGACUCAGAUUCAUGGGGCCAUUUCUGACUAGAGAUACGUGUAUAUUUUCUUGGAUUACUGAGGGAAGAGGUCUUGUUCUGGAUCUCGGAAGAAUUGGGGCAGGUGUUUGUGCCUGGAAAGUUUUGGGGAUGUAACCCUGUUAAUCACCACACCAGGUGCAGUGUGAACCCACACACAUGCACUGCCCCAGCAAUGACCCUUCUUCCAAUCCGGAAGAAUUUCCCUCCCUGUUUUAGGCUUUACAUCACAUCUUCAGCAUGGGCCUCUCCUGAAUGCACUCUAGUAUUCAUGCUUGGGGUCCAUUAGGAGCAAAGGUCAUGAAGCCCUUUUCACGUACAAUAUGUCUAGCUGGGUGUGUGCAAGUUUACUUGGGCCCCAGAGGAGAGAAAAGGGGCCUCCAUGACACUUCUGUCUGGCAGUUUUCCAAGUGGCCUCUGCUUAUGGGUUUGCUCUGUAGGAACCUAGGAAGGGCAUUUUCCAAAAAUUGAUCGCGUGCAACUUUCUAUGACCUUGUAUCCCUUGCUUUAUUUUUAUGAAUGAGGCUCUAUUAAAAGCAGGGGGUAAAUGUU